UCUCCUUCAACCCAGACUGUAGUUUUCUAGGAUUUAGGAACUGACUGUCUAUACCAUUGAGAUGCAUAAAAAGAAAAUAGAUCUAGACCUGGGAUGGGCAAUAAUUAAAUAAAUCGGGAUUUUUAAAUGCAACGGAGGUCAGAACAAAAACAUUUUUUGGACCGAUUAGUUUGCCGGACGGAAAAAGGGUUGUUAUUAUAGGUCCAUCUGGUUUUAGAAGUUCAAUUGUAGCCCAGAAUAUAUAAAUAUAUCAAGCCACCACGGGCCACAUUUAUUCGGCUCACAGGCCUUACUUGCCCACCCGUGAUCUAGACAGUACACCAUUGUGCUUAGUUGACAGACACUCCUUACACAGGACAAGGCAAUAUUAUUGGACAGUCACAAGGGCAUAGAGAAAUGGGACACUCUUUUAUGUGAAUGACUGGGUUAAGUCCUUUUAGCUCCUAGUGCAACAAAGGGCUUCAACAAUGCCUCUCCAUAAAACUGUCUUGUGCAGUUUUCUUAACUUAUAUCCAGAUGGUCUCUGUCUUUUACGGAUGGCCAAUGUUAAACCAUGUUAUAUAUUAUAAAGCUGUAACUUGUGUUUUCCAGGUCCAAAUGUCCCUCCCCCUCCUACCCAGUCAGCCCACCUGAGGGCUGGUGUGAUUUCAUCCUCCCCACCACCAGUAGCAGCAACAUGUCCAUUGACCUCAGUUUGUUUUGUAUCUCUGGGGCAGGGACCUGUGGGGACUGAACGCACAGGGUCUCCAAAAUACUAUGUCACUGCCCUCAACUCCCUAUCUGAACUGCCAGAGAGAGGAAUCCGCGCAGAUGGAUCGAGCAACUCGUCCCACUUUGUCUAUCAGAUGCCUCAGCCCAUCAGCAGAAACCCUCCCCUCAUCUCCUCACACCUUCAUCCUGCAGUCCAAUGGGGCCUUCUCCCACUAUGGCAACCCCCUGCACCCUCUGCCCAGGAGAGCACUGGCUACCCUUGGAUACUUCAAGUUGACAAUAGAGCCAUCUGCUGGGACAAAACAGGCUCCUUUUAUAGGUGGCAAACAGUUGGAAAGUCCAAGUCUUAGUCACCACAGCAGGAUUGGUUCACCUUAUCCUCUGAGAUCUUUAGUUAAUCUGAUGACUGCAAAAUAUGUAUUUUGACAUUUUCCCUGACUCAUUACUGUUGGGCAUACACCUAUUUUUCUUCAAUGAUAUGGGGGUUUUCCUCCUCAGAGCAAAUAUGUUAUUUUUGUUAAGCACAAAUUUGGCUUAGUCACCUUUAGGGAUGAUGUAAUGUUUUUCUUUCCUUACUGGUGUUAUGUUUUUCACUCAAUUGUGCUGUGGUGUUUCUCUCUCCAGCCCAAGCAACAAGGGUGAGAUAUUGGUUGUGCUGGAGGAGGACAAUGCUGAUUGGUGUUAAGGUAUCUCUGUUAUAGGUAGAAGUUGUCCUCAGACACAGAUCUAGCAUCAGAUUACCCUCCACAAAUCUGUUUCGGUGGUGUGCCUUCUUCACUGUGUUCGUUUCAAAGUCUUUGGGCAACAGCUAAAUUGAUAAAAUAGUGAAUAAAAGGUGCUACAAUUAACUCAGCUGCUUGCUAUUGGCACUGACUUUAACCAUUGGAGGGGUAAACUAUUAGUGAUCAGUGUUUAUGAAGGGACUUCUUACUUGCAUUCACUCAUACAUUCUGUGUUGUACAGGCUGGUCAGUCAUGCAUAGCUACAGGAUUGGGUCUGCUCUUCUGUUUCUGUUUAAAUAAUCAAAUCAAAUUGUAUUGGCCACAUGUGGGAAAAACAACAGGUGUAGGCUUUACAGUGAAAUGCUUACUUACGAGCCCAUUCCCAACAAUGCAGAGUUAAAAAGUAAGUCAAAUAUUUGCUAAAUGAAAAAGGAAAUAGUAACACAAAAACAAGACCAAGCCUAUAUACAAGGUGUACCAGUCCGAAUAAAUGUGCAGGGGUACGAGGUAGUUUAGGUAAUACAGUAUGUACAUGUGGGUAGGGGUAAAAGUGACUAGGCAAUCAGGAUAUAUCAUAAACAGAGUAGCAGCAGCAUAUGUGAAGAGUGUCUAUGUGUGAGUGUGUGUGAGCCAGUGGAGGUUCCUCAGAGGGGGAAGGGGAGGACGAUCCUACUCAAUGAAUUUCAACCCAAAAAAAUUGUGAAACAUUAAAAAAGUGAUUAUUUUUAGAUAAAACUAUAGUAAAUAUAUUCAGGUGACCAAAUAACUGAGUAAAACACACUGUUUUGCAAUGAAGGUCUACAGUAGCCUCAACAGCACUCUCUGGUGUAGCACCAUCUCACCCCCUUCCAUAGACUUAUCGUAAUUAUGACAACUUCCGGAGGACGUCCUCCAACCUAUCAGAGCUUUUGCUGCAUGAAAAGACAUGUCCAACGAAUCAGAGGAUCAGAUAAUGAAUCUAGUACUGAAAGCAUAGCUAACACUGCAGUGCAUAAAAUGUGGUGGGUAGUUGACUCAGAGGGAGAAAGACAAUAGUUGAACAGUUAACAAAUAUAUUUUUUCAAAAAUUAAGGAGAAGAGAGAGAGAGUGUUGUAUUUUUUUCCACUUUCACUUUGACUUACUUAGCUAGCUAAUGCAGCUAGCUAAUUUAACCUACUCAUACAUCUGGCUCAAACAAAGAAGAAUGCUGGCUAAGGCUAUCCAGCACUGGAACUCUUCCAAGUCAAGGUAAGCUUUCGGUUUUAUUAAUUCAUUGUGUAACUACUAAUCUACUUGCUGUACACUAUAUGGCGCGAUUAUAGCAAGUUUACUAGCGUGUUAGUUCUAGUAGCUAUGUUGACUAUGACAUUGGCUAAUAUGGUGACAACAAUGUAGGGGUAGCGGUUAUGGUAGCUGAAGGUUUGGGUUGGAAAGUCUUUUUCGCCUAGUGACAGACAGCUGUUGUGUUGUGCACUGAAGACAACAAGCGAAGGGAAAAGGUGAGAGGAGGAGAGCGCGUAGAUGAGAGAAGAAAUUAUACAACGAGCAAAGUGAUGAUGCUGUUUGUGUGGCUGCUAUGAAAGUGAACUGUGUGUGCGGGUGAUCAGGGGUGUAUUCAUUCCGCUGAUUCUGUUAAAACGUUUUUUAAAUGGAAGCAAAAGGAAUGAACAGGGAUAAACCUACCUGAAUUUGUCAAAUAGAAACACUUGUUUGCAACUGUUUGGACUAAUGAUUACACCCUAGAUACAGGCAAGCAUGUGCAAGGCAUUUUUGAAUGUGUCACUGUCAGUUACCUUGAUUACUCCAAUUUGUCACUCAACCUGUUAAACUUUUAUUCGUAGGCUAGGUUGUAGCAACCUCAUGAUGGAUAUAGGGAAAUUUUGAGUAUCAUGUAGUAGCCUAAACCUAUCAAUGACAGUCAUCCAAUAUGCUUGGGACAGCAUGUAGCCUAGUGGUUAGAGCAUCCCAGAGCUGAUCCCAGAGCUGACAUGGUAAAAAUCUGUCGUUCUGCCCCUGAACAAGGCAGUUAACCCACUGUUCCCCGGUAGGCUGUCAUAGUAAAUAAGAAUUUGUUCUUAACUGACUUGCCUAGUUAAUUAAAGGUUACAUUUCAAAUAAAAAAAUAUGCUGUAAUAGAAAUAAGGCCAUGCUCAUACAUUUUUUUUUAAAUGGUCCUCCCUAAUCUUAAACAGCACUGACCGCCACUGGUGUGAGCGUAUGUAGGAGUGCCAGUGUGUGUAUUGAGUCAGUGCAAAACAGUUUAAUGCUGCUUUCAGAACUCGGGCUAGGCAAAAGCUAACGUCUGUGCUCGCAUACACCCUUAAAUGACAUGCACUUGAAAAACGAACAAUUACUGUUUGUCCCUUGAGACGGUGUAGUAACAACAUAGGCAGUAACACUUCUUCAAAAUAGUCGGAAUUAAUCAAUGAUAAAUCAAGAAAUCUGUCAUUCAUUUUGACGUUUUUGCCAAAGAAGUCUUAGUCACGCAGUUUUACAACUAACUAAAGGUUUGGUACAGUAUUUCUCAAGUGACAAAAUGUGCAUGAAAACUAGUUGUCUCAUUGAAUGACAACAAACACAUAAUUGAAGAAUCCGUCCAUAGUUCCUACUCCUACUAGGAGUAGUAUUGUUAACCAAUCACCGAUGAAGAGGCUUAAGACUUUGGCUACUUGCCUCAAGAAAAAACACCUGCUGAAAACCAAAACGAACCAAAACGUUUGUCAUAAUAUAUGUGCGAACUGUUUCGACUGGGAAGCAAGCGUAAGCUUUUAUGGAUCCAUAACUAAAUAAACAUCAGCAUUUUGAAAGAGUAUUUUUAUCAUUAUUUUAUUAACCAAAGCAUAAAGAUGCUGAUAAAAAAAUACAGUACUGUACAGUAUAUGCUUUUACAUUUGGAUAAUAAAGCAUUUAAAGCAUUUUGAAGAUAUAAGCCACCUGCAUUUGUUUAUUAGGCUACUGUUCAGUCUGACAAGUAAACAUAGCCUACAGUACAUACUGUAGUAAACAUGGGAAAUUGCCUAAUUCCUUACAUAAGGGAGAGCAGGCCAUGUCCAGACUUUCUCAGUGACCUCAAGUACUCAUUAACUCUGUCUUUAAUGCUUUUUCGGGUUGCAUCAGUCACAGACAGAAACUUCUGAGACACAGUAUUAAUGAUGAACACCCGGAGGUUCACUGGUAAGCCACAUUUGCCUCGGGAUCCAUCCAAGUUUGUAUUCUGUGCCCAUUCGUGGUAUCUCUAUUCGGUUGCACAUCCUUGGAAUAGUAGAACAGCAUAAUGGUCCGGGCGGCCAUUGCUGUGCCUGGUGAGCAGUUGGUCAAGUUCUGUUGUCAGAAGAGGAAUGGAAAUGUCAGGGUGAACCGACGACCUAACGAACCUGCCACGUAUGUUCACUCUGCUUGUCGGAGCUGGAGUUCCAGAGCUCACAGGUGUGCCUGGCAUGGAUUGUGACUCCAUCUCGUUCCUCACCCUUUUCAAUGUGUCAUUCUCCACCAAUGCUGCCUGACUCUACACAAAUGCUGCUCAUCUCAACAAGGUUUUACCUGUGGUCGUGGAGUUGGGUGGAAGUGCGACUAAAAUGUAGUUUAAAUAAACAUCUGCAUUUGAAUGUCUUUCUCGUUAUUUUAUUAACGAAAGCAUAAAUAUGUUGAUGAAGAAAUACUGUACUGCUGCAUCGAAUAUAUUGCAAGUUGAGGGAUUUUCACUACAGUAGCCGGGCUAUAAAAAGUCUAUUGUCCUGCUAAUAGGAAACAUUUGCAUGAUGGGCUACACGUACUACAUUGCUACAGUACACUUGUGAAAAACAAGUGUUUGAAAACCUGUUUUCAAAAUGCCUCCAGUUGUCCAUCACUGCUGUAAAUAAAAACAGAGCAUCUU
rnacentral:lncRNA from 8 species